CCUACGGGGGGCAGCAGUGAGGAAUAUUGGUCAAUGGGCGGGAGCCUGAACCAGCCAAGCCGCGUGAGGGAAGAAGGUACAGCGUAUCGUAAACCUCUUUUGUCAGGGAACAAAGGCGGGGACUAGUCCCCGGAUGAGGGUACCUGAAGAACAAGCAUCGGCUAACUCCGUGCCAGCAGCCGCGGUAAUACGGAGGAUGCGAGCGUUAUCCGGAUUUAUUGGGUUUAAAGGGUGCGCAGGCGGUCUGUUAAGUCAGCGGUCAAAGCCCGGGGCUCAACCCCGGCCCGCCGUUGAAACUGGCAGUCUCGAGUUGGAGAGAAGUAUGCGGAAUGCGCGGUGUAGCGGUGAAAUGCAUAGAUAUCGCGCAGAACUCCGAUUGCGAAGGCAGCAUGCCGGCUCCACACUGACGCUGAGGCACGAAAGCGUGGGUAUCGAACAGGAUUAGAUACCCCGGUAGUC
rnacentral:rRNA from 1 species